rnacentral:rRNA from 1 species
UACGGAGGAUGCAAGCGUUAUCCGGAAUCAUUGGGCGUAAAGCGUCCGCAGGUGGCAGUUCAAGUCUGCUGUCAAAGACUGGGGCUUAACCCUGGAAAGGCGGUGGAAACUGAAGCGCUAGAGUGCGGUAGGGGUAGAGGGAAUUCCCGGUGUAGCGGUGAAAUGCGUAGAGAUCGGGAAGAACAUCGGUGGCGAAAGCGCUCUACUGGACCGCAACUGACACUCAGGGACGAAAGCUAGGGGAGCGAAUGGG